rnacentral:rRNA from 1 species
UACGUAGGGUGCAAGCGUUGUCCGGAAUUAUUGGGCGUAAAGAGCUCGUAGGCGGUCUGUCGCGUCUGCUGUGAAAAUCCAGGGCUCAACCCUGGACCUGCAGUGGGUACGGGCAGACUAGAGUGGGGUAGGGGAGAUCGGAAUUCCUGGUGUAGCGGUGAAAUGCGCAGAUAUCAGGAGGAACACCGGUGGCGAAGGCGGUUCUCUGGGCCUGUACUGACGCUGAGGAACGAAAGCGUGGGGAGCGAACAGG